rfam:Myotis lucifugus cont2.38885, whole genome shotgun sequence.
GGCAGUUCUCGGUUGACACACCCUGGAAUCAGGCUCCCUCCUCUCCUGUUCCGAGGUUCGUCACCCGAGAACCUCC